rnacentral:rRNA from 1 species
AGUGAACGCUGGCGGCAGGCCUAACACAUGCAAGUCGAACGGCAGCACGGCAGUAGCAAUACUGUGGGUGGCGAGUGGCGGACGGGUGAGGAAUACAUCGGGAUCUACCCUGUUGUGGGGGAUAACGUAGGGAAACUUACGCUAAUACCGCAUAAGAACUGAGGUUGAAAGCGGCGGACCGCAAGGCGUCGCGCGAUUGGAUGAACCGAUGUCCGAUUAGCUAGUUGGCGGGGUAAAGGCCCACCAAGGCGACGAUCGGUAGCUGGUCUGAGAGGACGACCAGCCACACUGGAACUGAGACACGGUCCAGACUCCUACGGGAGGCAGCAGUGGGGAAUAUUGGACAAUGGGCGCAAGCCUGAUCCAGCCAUGCCGCGUGGGUGAAGAAGGCCUUCGGG